GUCACUUUGGCGGAGUGGUUAACGCGUUGCCCUGCUAAGGCAAUCCAUUCGUGGGCGCAGGUUCGAAUCCUGCAGGUGACG
rnacentral:tRNA from 2 species